UCGAGCGAACAGACGAGGAGCUUGCUCCUCUGACGUUAGCGGCGGACGGGUGAGUAACACGUGGAUAACCUACCUAUAAGACUGGGAUAACUUCGGGAAACCGGAGCUAAUACCGGAUAAUAUAUUGAACCGCAUGGUUCAAUAGUGAAAGACGGUUUUGCUGUCACUUAUAGAUGGAUCCGCGCCGCAUUAGCUAGUUGGUAAGGUAACGGCUUACCAAGGCAACGAUGCGUAGCCGACCUGAGAGGGUGAUCGGCCACACUGGAACUGAGACACGGUCCAGACUCCUACGGGAGGCAGCAGUAGGGAAUCUUCCGCAAUGGGCGAAAGCCUGACGGAGCAACGCCGCGUGAGUGAUGAAGGUCUUCGGAUCGUAAAACUCUGUUAUUAGGGAAGAACAAAUGUGUAAGUAACUAUGCACGUCUUGACGGUACCUAAUCAGAAAGCCACGGCUAACUACGUGCCAGCAGCCGCGGUAAUACGUAGGUGGCAAGCGUUAUCCGGAAUUAUUGGGCGUAAAGCGCGCGUAGGCGGUUUUUUAAGUCUGAUGUGAAAGCCCACGGCUCAACCGUGGAGGGUCAUUGGAAACUGGAAAACUUGAGUGCAGAAGAGGAAAGUGGAAUUCCAUGUGUAGCGGUGAAAUGCGCAGAGAUAUGGAGGAACACCAGUGGCGAAGGCGACUUUCUGGUCUGUAACUGACGCUGAUGUGCGAAAGCGUGGGGAUCAAACAGGAUUAGAUACCCUGGUAGUCCACGCCGUAAACGAUGAGUGCUAAGUGUUAGGGGGUUUCCGCCCCUUAGUGCUGCAGCUAACGCAUU
rnacentral:rRNA from 1 species